CUCUCAACGCUCUCACUCUCAGAGCUCUCUCUCCCUCAGAUAAAUACAUAAUCAGUGUGGACGUAGCCCAAACCUUGGGGUGAACCACGAUACAUUUUGUGUUAUUUACAUUACUUGUAGAUUCACGGUCGGAUUUACAUUGUACCAAGAUCUCCGAUUUUGUGCAUCAACAUCACCAAUAUGAAUAAGCACGUUUAUCAACGUUUAAAUGAUAAACAAAUCAUCAACCUCCAUAUCCUUUCGUUUUCAAUAACGUAUUUACAAAUUUAGUCUCCCUAACAUUACCCUUUUCAAAAAUACUUAAAUGCUUUUAUACUCAAAAUCAAUUUCACAAAAGACUUUCAAAUGGUUUUAAAGAGAUGGAUUGGCUUCAAAGAGAUGGAAUCCUGUUAUUAGAGCUUGAUAGAUUACUGAGACCUGGAGGGUAUUUUGUGUAUACUUCUCCUGAAGCAUAUGCAUUUGAUCCAAAAAAUAGGAGGAUCUGGAAUGCUAUGUCUAAUCUUCUGAAAAGAAUGUGCUGGAGAGUUGUAGCGAAGAAAGAUGGGCCAAGCCCCUGACUAAUAGUUGGUAUCUGUGGCGAAAAAAUGGUACUUUCAUGAGAAAAUUUUGUAGAUGAAUGAAUAUUUUCAAUCUGGAUAUUUAUUAGAUAUUAGAAAUUAUAAGUCUAUUCACGAAAGUCUAAGUCAAUGCCACGUAAAAUAUUUGUUAAGACAUAUUUAGGGAACUGUUAUUAGCACUCCAAAAAUCUCAUUAUACAUUCCGCACAAGUGUAUUUUUCUUUCUAAUUAUAGAAUGUUUUGAAUGUCAAAUAAGAUUUUUAGUGUACUCAUAAUAAUUUUCUAUAUUUAUAUACAUUUUAUUUUAGUUUGGAAGUUGACUUCCUUUUUUCCCUUUCUUUAUCAAGUUGGGAGUAUCACUAACUGUUACCCUAUGCAACUAGUUGUUUAUUUGUGUUGAAUAAUCAAAUUACAAAACUUGUAUAAAAAAAAUGCAUUAAUCUAAAGUUAGCGUACAAGAUGGUCAAUUCACGAGAACGACUAACAAAACAAAAUUACCGUCACCAUAAUGUUCCAAUUCACUAAGACAAGAUCAUACGUAAAACCCUCUUUACAUGUUAGCGGCCCCGAAUGCUGCAACCACGGCAACCUAUUCUCUAAAAAGUCGCUCUCGCGUGUGAUUAAAUACAUACAUUUUUUUUCAAAUAAAAGCACUCAUAAAGUGGAUGCGAGCAUUGUCUAAAGAUUCGCAUCCAUUUCCAGUCAAGAACCCAAAGGGAAUUCUCUUCCACCAUAUUUCUGUGCAUCAAUGAUGGAACUGUCACGGCAAAAAUGAAGAGCACUUUUAAUAUUUUUAAUUAAAUAUGGCUUGUGUAUUUGUAUACGCAACAAUGCGGAUCGGAUAAGAUAUGGUGCAAAACACACAUGUGACGUCACGACUAUUUUGUCACGGUAUUCGACUCAUUUGUUUAAACAAAAAAUACAACAUGGUCCGAACGAGCCUCGAUUAAAGAGAAUUAAUGGACUGGAAUCAACCCGAACCGAACCAGUCCCGAUUGGAACCGAUGGUGACUUUAAACGGUCACAGCAAGGUGUGUUUGACAUUGUCGUUUAAAAGCUUCGUGUAGUAGACUUGGCACAUCUUAUGAGCUGUGACCCUGGGACAUGGGACGGGCCUUGCACCACAACAUUCUAAUAGGGUAAAAGAAUCCCAAAGGAUUUCUGGAGCAGGCCCUACCUAUGUAUACGCGACUACAAACUAGAGUUUGGCAAACAAAUAUUGAACCUGCGAGUCGGGAUGGGUCCAAGCGGAUUGGAAAAGGCGGGUUUAAUUUUUUUAAAAAUAAACGGGAUGGGUCCAAAUAAAAAAAUAAAUAAAUAAAAGGGUCUUGGCCCGAAUAUUUUCUCCCUCUCUGGCGUCUGGCGAUGAUUGUCACCAUCGUCUCCUCCCAAACCUUCCAAUUGUUAACAACAAAUAACGCAACGUCUUUAGAUACGCAUGUGAGAAUGAACAAAAAUGCAUCAACAGUUGAGUCAAAUUCAAUGCUUCCUAAGCUCAUAACCAAAUUAAAAGUUUAAAAGCAUGGCGAAAGAAGGUUCAAAGUCAUUGCCAAAAUUUCCUUAAAAAAUACACAAAUUGAAGGAUACUUUAGGUAUAUCAAGUCAUCUGCUUGAUACUCACGGUGGAACAAGGUUUCAAAGUCGCUGCCAAAUUUUCCUAAAAAAUAAACAAAUAGGAGAUUUGUGAUUUACAGUUUUCAGAGUUGAUACAUGUCUUGAUAGAAACCUUAUCUACCAACUACGAUUGAAGCCAAAUUUGAUGUUUAGGGAGCACUAAUUAUAAAAAUCUCAUUUUACACUCCAUAAGUGUAUUUUUCUUUCUAAUUAUAGAAAGUUCAGAGUGCCAAAUGAGAUUUUUGAAAUGCUAAUAACAAUUUUCUAUAUUUACAUACAUUUUAUUUUAGUUUAGAAGUCGACUUCUUUUUUUUCUUCUUUCUUUAUCAAGUUGGAAGUAUCACUCACUGUGACCUUGUGCAACUAGUUGUUGAUUCGUUUUGAAUAAUCAAAUUACUAAGUUUGUAUAAUAAAAAAAUGCGUUAAUCUAAAGUUAGCAUACAAGGUGGUCAAUUCACGAAAACGACUAACAAAAAAAAAAAAAAAAACUCACUGCCACCAUAAUGUUCCAAUUCACUACAAGAUCAUGUGUAAAACCCUCUUUACAUGUUAGCGGCCCCGAAUGCUGCUACCACGGCAGCAACCUAUGCUCUAAAAAGUCUCUCUCGCGUGUGAUUAAAUACAUAUAUUUUUUUCAAAUAAAAGCACUCAUAAAGUGGACGCGAGCAUUGUCUAAUGAUUCGCAUCGUUCUGUCAAGACCAUCCAUUUCCAGUCAAGAACCCAAAGGGAAUAAUCUUCCACCAUAUUUCUGUGCAGCAAUGAUGGAACUGUCAUGGCAAAAAUGAGAAGGUCUUUUAAUAUUUUGAAUUAAAUAUGACUUGUGUAUUUGUAUACGCAACAAUGGGGAUCGGACAUAAGUUGUACAAUAAGAUAUGGUGCAAAUCACAC
rnacentral:lncRNA from 1 species